GGCGGCGUAGCCAAGUGGUAAGGCAGAGGUCUGCAAAACCUCGAUCCGGCGGUUCGAAUCCGCCCGCCGCCUCCA
rnacentral:tRNA from 1 species